CUUAUCAAGAGUGGCGGAGGGACAGGCCCAAUGAUGCCCGGCAACCGGUGGGUGGCGACGCCCGCGAGGUGCCAAUUCCUGCGACCGGUGCGCUUCGGUCGAAAGAUGAGG
rnacentral:ncRNA from 1 species